GAGUGAGGGCGGGGUCGACCCAUGUGGGCUGGGAACGCUCGUCACCCUCCAAGGGCUUCGUCGAACGGUGGGAGUUCAAAGACUGCCUGCUCCGCUCCGCCCCCGCUUUGUGAUUGGCUGAGAAGGGGUUCCACUCGUGCGAGGCGCCGGGCUGCGUUGCUGCUCUUUGGCUCGGAGGCAGUUGGGGAGAUGGCGGGCGUAGGCACUAGCGCGUUGCCUUCUUUUCGUCCUCCGGAAGGGAGGGGUGGCUCGCUGGCUCUUCGGCUCCUUUAAUGUUUCGAAACCUCAGUCAAAAUGGCUCGAAUAAAUGAAUAAUAGGAAUUGUAUGGUGUUUCGGGAUCUUUUUCUUCCGUUACUUUAGGGUUUGGCAAAUUGCCCUCCUUAUAAAGGCACCUCGUGGGCUAAAAGAAUCGGCAGAGCUCGAAGGAGUUUGGGGUUUCUUGGAAUAUGGAGGCACAGCAUUUGUCUCCAGUGUCCCUGCAUAGAUAGGCACAUGCCUGGCUAGCUUAAGACACUGCAUAGAGCCUCUAUUCUCAACAACGGUGGCUCUCGCGGGUAGAGAAUUAUUUUUGCAUAUUUGUAAAUGGAAUCUCUGCUAUUCUGUUGUUCUGCUCCUUUGGGCCUUUUGUCCUUCCCGUCUGUGCUGCUUUGUGGUUUAUAUUUCUUAUGCGUCGUCGUUUUUCUUUUGGUCAUGUCCACCACUCUUAACAAAAUCUAAUCUGAAAUGGUGGGAGCUGGAAUCAAUGGAAGUUUCUCAGGGAAUCAAGCCGGUAGCAUCAAGUUUUGCUACUUUUCAAGACGGCUGCUCACCCAGGGGGUGGGCGACUUUGUGUGGGUUUUUUAAUUUUGAUUUUUAGUUGUUUCGUUUUUUAUUAAGUGGGUUGUUGUUUUUUAUACUGUAAGCCACCCUGUGAUCAUCAGCUGAAGGGCGGCAUGUAAAUUUAAUAGGAAAAUAAAUAAAUUCCAUAGAUUAAUAAUAAGUAAUACUGUACCAACAGCCAUGGCUCUAACAUCAAGAUACAUGUAGCACCCAAUGUGUGGAAUGCACUUAGCUGUGUUAAAAUGUUUUAAAUACGUUUUUGUUUAAAUUGUUUGUUUUACUACUUUGCUACUGUCCGCUCUGGGUUCCUCUGGGAGGAGGGAACAGAAUAGAUAUGUAAUAAUUAAAUAAUAAGCAAACAAAAACCUCCAGCCUUUUCCCCACCCGUUUUGUAUUAACAUCCAGCCUGUUGAACAGUUCUGGCUACUUGAAAGCUUACUGACAAAAGUCAGUUGGUUGUAACAAUGCUGCAGACCGUACUGUGUGUGGCUUUUUGGUGGUUUUUCCUCUCUAAUGGAUCAACACAGCUACCUACAAUAGUUGUAUCUCUGCAAUGUCCACAAUAGCUGGCAAGACUGAGACUGAGAGAUAGGGACCCAGGGCGAGGUCGCACCCAGUGAACUUUGUGACUCAGUGGGGAUUUGUGAACCCUGGUCUUCCAAGUCCUCUUCCAGCACUACACCACACUGGUACCACCAGGCAUACAUAGCCUCCGGAGAUAUAUUCCAUGUUUCUUCGCUGACUGUUCGGUUUUCUUUCUUUUUUUCAGUAGCAUACAAGUCAAAAUGUACAUAUCUUAGUCUGUAUAUUUGCUUGAUAAAAUAAAUGAAUGUG